rnacentral:rRNA from 1 species
GUAGGGAAUAUUGCACAAUGGAGGAAACUCUGAUGCAGCGACGCCGCGUGAGUGAUGAAGGCCUUCGGGUCGUAAAGCUCUGUCGCAGGGGAAUAACACAAUGAAGGUACCCUGUAAGAAAGGAUCGGCUAACUUCGUGCCAGCAGCCGCGGUAAGACGAGGGAUCCUAGCGUUGUUCGGAAUCAUUGGGCGUAAAGCGGAUGUAGGUGGCUAUGUAAGUCAGAUGUGAAAGCCUGGGGCUCAACCCCAGAAGUGCAUUUGAUACUGCGUAGCUUGAGUGUCGGAGAGGUUACUAGAAUUGUUGGUGUAGUGGUGAAAUACGUAGAUAUCAACAGGAAUACCGGAGGCGAAGGCGGGUAACUGGCCGAACACUGACACUGAGAUCCGAAAGCGUGGGGAUCAAACAGGAUUAGAAACCCGGGUAGUCC